UACGGAGGGAGCUAGCGUUGUUCGGAAUUACUGGGCGUAAAGCGCGCGUAGGCGGCUUUGUAAGUUAGAGGUGAAAGCCCGGGGCUCAACCUCGGAACUGCCUUUGAUACUGGGGAUCUCGAGUCCGGGAGAGGUGAGUGGAACUGCGAGUGUAGAGGUGAAAUUCGUAGAUAUUCGCAAGAACACCAGUGGCGAAGGCGGCUCACUGGCCCGGAACUGACGCUGAGGUGCGAAAGCGUGGGGAGCAAACAGG
rnacentral:rRNA from 1 species